rnacentral:tRNA from 1 species
GGUGGGUUGGCAGAGUGGUCGAAUGCACUGGUCUUGAAAACCAGAGUACCUACAAAGGUACCGGAGGUUCGAAUCCUCCACCCACCG